CAAUACAAGAUUAUAGUCAUUUAUUUCAUUAUUUCUGUUUAUUUCAUUUCAAAGCAAAUGAUAAUAUUCGUCAUCGAAGCAAUUUUGUAACACUGGAAAAAUAACUCAAUCUUAUGGUUGAACCAAGGAAAUAAAUUUUUACAUGUGGCUUUUUCUAUAUGUAGAUAUAUUGUAUCAAAUUAAAAGUUCGUUUUCAUAUUUUUGUGUCAAUUUUAAUCUUUAACGGGGGGUUAUACACAAGUCAAAAGUUUGUGAGUCAUUGGAUUUGUUAAAUAUAAAAAUUAUGUGCAAAGCUAUCAUAUUGGGUGAAAAGUCCUGUGCUGCACAAAAUAUGGCACAAUUUUUUUUUUUAAAUUCACCUCAUUUUCAUUACCAACCUUCAAAAAACAGCUGUCAAAAUUUCAUAAUAAUCUGUUUUUUAUUUUGUGAGUGAUUGUGCUAAGUGUGUUGGUAUUUACAAAAACAAUUUUGUGUUUGAAUUUUACACUGUUUUUUUUAUGGGGAAAAUAUUGUUUAAUGGCUUGAAAAGACUUAUGAGGACUCCGCUCCCUAAAACAUGUUGUGGACUUUGAAAAAGCUCGCCUCGGUCUCUUCUUAAUCAAAGGUGCGACAGUGGAAGAAGAAGAUGGAUCCUCGACAGUAGAAAGGGAAGUGUUUGUGACUUCCUUCGCAACCGUACACAUAUCUGCUAAAUUCUUAGUCGUAUUCCUCAUCCAGAAGACGUUCAACCUCAUCUUUUACCUACAUGCUCGAGAGCCUGGAAGUAUCAACCAUCAUGAUAAGACUAUAUUAAACUUUGGUAUGACAACACAAACUCAAGUUCAAUUCUCCGGAACCAGUUCUCAACAUCCAAAGAACAGAACCUAGGAAGGCAGAAUUCCGCAACGGUCAUUGCUAAAUUCGCCUCUUCCAUUUUAAUCGACCAUGCCUGUUUUUGGGGAGACACAGGUGGUGAAGUUUGCUUUCGGGGCAUUUUUCGAAUCACGUCGGGGUCACCAAUUUAAAGUAUUUGAACUUCAAGUAUCUACUGAUUAUAUUCUAGAAAAAUAAUAAGAAAAAGUGAUCAACUUGAUCAAAUCAAACUUCAACAUAUAUAUGUGUCUUCCAAAGUUAGGGACUAUCAUAUCUUAUUCCAUUAAAGAGUUUAAAAAAACCAUUUUGAACGGUCCAAAUUAUCUGGUACGUUCUUCUGAGGGUGAAUCCAUAAAAACAAUUUUUUGAUUUGGGGCCGGGAACAUGUCGAUAAUGGAGGUUCAAGAAAACGUCAAAAAGUGCUAUUUUGAAAAAUUUGUUGAAAUAAAAAGCUGACUUUUUGGAAAUUCAUUUAUAUACAUAUCUUUAGAAAAGUACGUAGAAUAUCUUCACCAAUUUCAGCUUUUGGAUUCAACUAUGAGACUCAGUAAGCAGAAAGAUAUUUUUCACACUAGCUUUUAAUGAAAAAUAUAUCCUCCUGCAGUGAUCGUGAUAAUUCAAAUUCUGCAUCAAUGAAGACAUCCAGCAUAGCUUGGUGGGGGCAUGAAACAUAUCUUAAGAAACUACAUUGGCACUUUAAAUACAAUUAGGCUUAGGUGUUGACUAUUUGUAUGUGUUUGAUAUGUUUUUAUUAUCCUAUUGUAGCAUUCUUUAACAUGUUUCCAGUAUUUCAAAAUCUUUUAAAUAAAUUGUGAUUAUUAAAAAAAAAAACUUAUUUCUCUGCUUACUACAUACAAAUCCUCAAUCCCUCGACGCAUUUACUUAUAUCCUCAAAUUAAGAGUUUAUUUUAGUCCUUGACAUAAAAUAAAAAAAUAAAAAUUUUCAUAAGAUAAAAUUAACAAUAUAUUUUUUAUUCUAAGCUGCAUCAUAUUGGUAUCGAUAUUUUUUUAUAAAUUUCACUCCGAUAUUUCAUAUGAUGAAUUAACAAAAAGUGUAAAUACAAAGUGUUUUUUUUAUCAUAUAAAAAUUCGUAUAUUUCUUUUUUUAAAUGAUAAAUACAUUUUGUUUAUUUUAUGACUUUAUGACAGUAUAAACAUGUAGAGACAAACGUUUUUUGGUGACUCUAAGUCCAAAUUUGAUUUCCUUUUUCUGUUCGAAGAAUUCCCCACUCAUUUGCUACCAAAAAGCAAAGAGGAACAAUAAAUAUCAAAUUAAAGAGCCUCUAGCCCAAGUCAAUACCCAACAAAUUCUACUCCCACAAACUAUACGCUACAAAAACUCCAUUCAUGACAUAAAUGAAUACCAUAUGCAUAAAUGAUAUAAAAGGCCAUAAUUUUCCUAAUAAAACCCGACAACCAUUCCAAAGUUCACAAGGACUCCAAUUAAAUGGCAAACUGACACAGCGUCGAGAGAAAUAUGCUUCCCAAAUUUUACACAAGUGAGGGGAAUGUUCACUGCUUCAAGACAUUGUUCAUUGCCUCCAAACGUCUUUAAACCCUAAGUAAGGCUUGAAUGGAGAUUGAGUUUUAGGAAGAUUAUGAAAUGUGUGAUAAGGAAUGUGGUUGCACAGGUAAUUAUAAAGAUUCUGCGUGUAUUUUUAGGUGUUAAAAGAGUAUUUUCUUGCAAUAUUUCAUAUAAACUCUUAUGUCUGAUCUUAUCCAUUUUGGUGCAAAAGGUCAAGGUUUCGUUUAAAAAUAAUAAUAUUAAUUAACUCGAAUGUUGUCGAAAUCAGAAAAAUAAUAUGAGGAAUUGCUCUAGUAAUUAUACGUAUAGCUUCUAAUUGUAUAACGGAGUAUAUAUGAAGCCUUCAAAAAUAGAUUAUAUUUUCUUGACAAGUAUAAUUUUGAGAGCUUCAAUUAAUUUACCUUCUACAUACAUAUGGUUGACUUAUUUUUUGAAGUAGAUUUUUCAACAUGUGUAUUGAUAAAAAAAAUAUAAAAUAUAAUAGUUGGUUUUCAUUUCAUAUUUAGAUAAACAGUGAAGUUAAUGCUGUCAAAUUAUAACUUUGUUCAUGAAAUUCAUAAAUCUCUUUAUUUCUUUUUUUGAAAUUAUUUAAUUCUAAUAUCAAGUCUAUCACCGGCCUCUUUUUUAGAUAUAGGUUCCACUAUUUGAAUCUAAUAAAUAUUUUUUAAUUUUUCAUAAGAAUAUGACAAAUGGCCUUAUGAAUUUAUUUUAUGAAAAAUAUAAUAAAUUACUGAUUUCUCGACUUCCCUUUAGUAUCACUAGUGUUAGGUCGGUCCAUUAUCAGUCCAAAAAAAGAACCAAAAAUAAAUGCCUAGUCACGUGACUCGGUCCUGCAUCGGCCUGGGGACUGAAGACGUAAAGCACAAAAAAAGCUUAUAAAAUCCAUCGACUCACUCAGAUUAGAUUGAUGGAUAGACUGACCCAACACUAAGUAUAGAAUCGAAAUCAGAAAUCCGAUAUAUCGGACAAAAUAUCUCAUAUUAGCAUUUUAUCGGUAUUGGAUAGUUUUUUUAGAUAUUUUGAUAUUCGGUCCGAUAUUUUAUAUGAUUGAAUCAACAAAAAAAAAAGAGGAUAUAAAAACUAAAUUGUUAAACAAAUUUUAGUCGCCUGGGUAUGCUUUAGACACAGAGUACUCACACUUAAACGAAUGCAUCUAUUAUGCUUAUGACUUAUGUACUUCUUAAAAAGAGUACUUGACGAAGUUCAACCUCCUUGGUCAUAACUAAAGCUGGGCGGUUUGCUCAAAUAAAUUACUGUUUUGAGAUUAGAAAAGGAAAAUCAAUAAGCUAUAUUGGAUGACCGUUACUUGGGUCGUCCUUAUCUAAUGAACAUGAAUGACAUAAAAGUUGCUAAUGCCAUUAAUGUUGCAAAUUUUGUCGUUCAGAUUAUUCAACUAGCUCUUGGUUUGGACUUUGAUGAAAAUAAAUUAAAAGUUUUCAUCACGGAUGGAGUGUCCUACUGUAAAAAAAGCGGGCAAGGCCUCAAAAGAAGCUACCCCCAUUUAAAAACAUAUUAUUUGUGUAGCUCAUAGACUCAAUAAUGUGGCUGAACUUGCACGUAAAGAAUUCCCAAAGACAAACGAGCUCAUUUCAGAAAUAUUUUUAAUGCCAGGCUAAGAAAACAGAACUUUACUGCUCCUUACUAAAUUCCCUCACCUCCAGCACCUAUCGUCACACGCUAGGCAACUUGGUUCAAAGCAGUUGAUUACUAUUUCAAUAACUUCGAAGUAAUCAGGGAAUAUUAAACAAUCUUAAUGAAAAAAACACCAACGGUCGUUAAAACUAAGGAGAUUAUAAAUGAUGAGUUUAUUUAUGAAGAAUUGUGAAUAAUUAAUCAUAAUCUCGACCCAAUUACCGAAGCCAUUACUGCAUUAGAAGGAAGACUCCCUUUACUUGUUUGCUUAGCUAUUGUCGAACAUUUACGCAUCGAUAUCAAGCUAGAGCCAUUCAAUACAAAAUUAAAUAAAUUUUACAUGAAAAUCCAGCGUACAUCAAUUUGUAGGACCUGGCAAAUUCUGAGGAGACAAUUUACAGAAACACACCUAUUGUAAAUUGUGACUUAAAGAGGAUUUUCAGCAUAUUGAGAGCCAUUCAUACCAAAAUAAGAUCCUGUUUAUCAGUAAAAAGUGUCAGGAAGAAGCUACUUAAAAAAAAUGAAUAUUGAAAUAUUAGAUUCGUAAGAUAAUUUGGUCAAGAACAACAGCAUGAAUGGUGUCAAAGGCGGUCCUAGCUUCAAAUGGUGUGCAAAUAGUUUGUCUAACAUCAGUUUCUUCGGGUUAUAAAUUGGAUAUGCUCCAUAGAUUCCGACAUGUUGAAGUACAAUUUAUUUAUGAUAAAUGACGAAAAAUGAGGAUUCUGCAUGGAAUUUGACAUAUUUAUUUCUACUCAUAAUAAUUAAGCUAACCCUGCUGGAGUUGGGUAGCCCUUUUUCGUCGACAGGGAAAACGAUCAUUUGUCUACGGAAGGCGGAGCAAUACGGGCUGUGCCUCAGUUUGGGCCUCGUGGAGGAAGGAAGAGAACCAUGGUCACUUACAAUAAGUGAAGUGUGUGUCCGUGUCAAGGACCACAUCAUUCAAAGUGGAUUUCAUUCCUUGAAGUUCUGGUUCUCCGUUGUUCCUACUCUCCCGUUCACCUCAUUAGGUUAUGAAUGUGCAAUGGUUUCUCCUCUGGAUCAUUCAGAGUUGGAUGAGGGUAAAUCGAGUGAGAUCGAUAUGUCUCCCAAGGAAGAGCAGGGUGCUCCUGUCCCUAAAACCUCUAUAAGGGUGAACGAUGUUUCUCCUAGGAACGAGCAGGGUGCUCGUGUGCCUUUAACCUCUAUAAGGGUGAACGAUGUUUCUCCCAGGAACGGGCAAGGUGCUCACGUUCCUAAAACCUCUAUGAGGAGUAGUGUUCUCCUUUCUCUGGUGCGCAUACUGAGAGCACGGCUAUGGAGAUAAAUUUUGUAUAUACAAGAGCAAAUGGUUUGUCCACACCUGAUUAUGGAUGGAGCCGAUCAAUAAGCUUCUAUUCAUGCAGCAGAACCUGGUUAAGCACCGGCAAGGAUUUGGUGCUUGGGGGGUGGUGUAAUGUAUUUGUGUUUCCUUCCCCCUUGUUCUCUUACUUCUCUUAUUUUCUUG
rnacentral:lncRNA from 1 species